GACGAACCGAGCGAACGUUGUUCGAAAUCACUGGGCUUAAAGGGUGCGUAGGCGGGCUGCCAAGUUUGAGGUGAAAUCCUCCGGCUCAACCGGGGAAGUGCCUUGAAUACUGGCGGUCUGGAGGGAGGUAGGGGCGUGCGGAACUAACGGUGGAGCGGUGAAAUGCGUUGAUAUCGUUAGGAACUCCGGUGGCGAAGGCGGCACGCUAGACCUCUUCUGACGCUGAGGCACGAAAGCCAGGGGAGCGAACGGG
rnacentral:rRNA from 1 species